rnacentral:rRNA from 1 species
AUACCCGUUUGCAUGUACUUUAUGAAUAAGGAUCGGCUAACUCCGUGCCAGCAGCCGCGGUAAUACGGAGGAUCCGAGCGUUAUCCGGAUUUAUUGGGUUUAAAGGGAGCGUAGAUGGAUGUUUAAGUCAGUUGUGAAAGUUUGCGGCUCAACCGUAAAAUUGCAGUUGAUACUGGAUAUCUUGAGUGCAGUUGAGGCAGGCGGAAUUCGUGGUGUAGCGGUGAAAUGCUUAGAUAUCACGAAGAACUCCGAUUGCGAAGGCAGCCUGCUAAGCUGCAACUGACAUUGAGGCUCGAAAGUGUGGGUAUCAAACAGGAUUAGAUACCCUGGUAGUCCACACGGUAAACGAUGAAUACUCGCUGUUUGCGAUAUACAGCAAGCGGCCAAGCGAAAGCGUUAAGUAUUCCACCUGGGGAGUACGCCGGCAACGGUGAAACUCAAAGGAAUUGACGGGGGCCCGCACAAGCGGAGGAACAUGUGGUUUAAUUCGAUGAUACGCGAGGAACCUUACCCGGGCUUAAAUUGCAGAUGAAUUACGGUGAAAGCCGUAAGCCGCAAGGCAUCUGUGAAGGUGCUGCAUGGUUGUCGUCAGCUCGUGCCGUGAGGUGUCGGCUUAAGUGCCAUAACGAGCGCAACCCUUGUUGUCAGUUACUAACAGGUUCUGCUGAGGACUCUGACAAGACUGCCAUCGUAAGAUGUGAGGAAGGUGGGGAUGACGUCAAAUCAGCACGGCCCUUACGUCCGGGGCUACACACGUGUUACAAUGGGGGGUACAGAGGGCCGCUACCACGCGAGUGGAUGCCAAUCCCAAAAACCUCUCUCAGUUCGGACUGGAGUCUGCAACCCGACUCCACGAAGCUGGAUUCGCUAGUAAUCGCGCAUCAGCCACGGCGCGGUGAAUACGUUCCCGGGCCUUGUACACACCGCCCGUCAAGCCAUGGGAGCCGGGGGUACCUGAAGUGCGUAACCGCGAGGAGCGCCCUAGGGUAAAACUGGUGACUGGGGCUAAGUCG